rnacentral:rRNA from 1 species
GACGAACGCUGGCGGCGUGCUUAACACAUGCAAGUCGAACGGAAAGGCCCUGCUUUUGUGGGGUGCUCGAGUGGCGAACGGGUGAGUAACACGUGAGUAACCUGCCCUUGACUUUGGGAUAACUUCAGGAGACUGGGGCUCAUACCGGAUAGGAGCUCCUGCUGCAUGUUGGGGGUUGGAAAGUGUCGGCGGUGGGGGAUGUACUCGCGGCUUAUCAGCUGCUUUGUGGGGUAGUUGCGUACCAAGCCUUUGACGGGUAGCCGGCCUGAGAGGGUUAACGGCGACAUUGGGCCUGAGAGAGGCAGCAGUCUCGUAUGGGACGCAGUAGUGGGGAAUAUUGCACAGUGAGCGGAAGCCUGAGAUAGAAGUGUUGGGUGCGUGAUGCUGUGUUUCGGGUUGUAAACAGCUUUCGCAGGAGCUGAAGAGUGCGUGACGGUAAUGGGUCAAGAAGCAACGGCUAACUACGUG